rnacentral:sRNA from 2 species
UGCAUCUGAAGCCUGACGAGGAUGAGAACCUCCGGGGGCAGGAGGUUCGACCCGAGCGCAGCGAGAGAACGUUGCGUCAGCAACGGCCCGCAGGGCGAGCCACGCAGUGGCGAGUCAUCCUCUAUCACCGACCA